rnacentral:rRNA from 1 species
UUGGAGGGCAAGUCUGGUGCCAGCAGCCGCGGUAAUUCCAGCUCCAAUAGCGUAUAUUAAAGUUGUUGCCGUUAAAAAGCUCGUAGUUGAACCUUGGGCCUGGCUGACCUGUCCUCCUAAUCGAGCGCACGGGUUCGGUCGGGCCUUUCCUUCUGGGGAUCCCGAUGCCCUUCACUGGGCGUUGUGGGGAACCAGGACCUUUACCUUGAAAAAAAUUAGAGUGUUCAAAGCAGGCCUUUGCUCGAAUACAUUAGCAUGGAAUAAUAGAAUAGGACAGAGGUU